AGGGAGACCUACCUUGGGGCAUCUGAGGGGAGUUAGACCACCCUUAGGCCAGCAAAGGUUAUCCCAGGUCGGUCGGGGUUGAAGGGAUGGUUGACUGGGGUUCUGGGGGAGAGCCAAGGGAAGGGCUAUUAGCUCAGGUGGUUAGAGCGCACCCCUGAUAAGGGUGAGGUCCCUGGUUCGAGUCCAGGAUGGCCCACUGUUUGUCCUGGAGAAGGGAGAGCUAGCAAGCUAGAAGCGAGCUGGCCAAGCUGAGGGCAAAGCCAGAGGGUGGGUGCAGUCUGGAUUGGGGGUAUAGCUCAGCUGGUAGAGCGCUGCCUUUGCACGGCAGAAGUCAGCGGUUCGAGUCCGCUUACCUCCACCAC
rnacentral:tRNA from 1 species